rnacentral:rRNA from 1 species
GUGUCAGCAGCCGCGCGGUAAUACGAAGGGACCUAGCGUAGUUCGGAAUUACUGGGCUUAAAGAGUUCGUAGGUGGUUGAAAAAGUUAGUGGUGAAAUCCCAGAGCUUAACUCUGGAACUGCCAUUAAAACUUUUCAGCUAGAGUAUGAUAGAGGAAAGCAGAAUUUCUAGUGUAGAGGUGAAAUUCGUAGAUAUUAGAAAGAAUACCAAUUGCGAAGGCAGCUUUCUGGAUCAUAACUGACACUGAGGAACGAAAGCAUGGGUAGCGAAGAGGAUUAGAUACCCUCGUAGUCCAUGCCGUAAACGAUGUGUGUUAGACGUUGGAAAUUUAUUUUCAGUGUCGCAGCGAAAGCGAUAAACACACCGCCUGGGGAGUACGACCGCAAGGUUAAAACUCAAAUGAAUUGACGGGGACCCGCACAAGUAGUGGAGCAUGUGGUUUAAUUCGAAGAUACGCGCAGAACCUUACCAACACUUGACAUGUUCGUCGCGACUCUAAGAGAUUAGAGUUUUCGGUUCGGCCGGACGAAACACAGGUGCUGCAUGGCUGUCGUCAGCUCGUGUCGUGAGACGUUGGGUUAAGUCCCGCAACGAGCGCAACCCUCACUUUUAGUUGCCAUCAUUAAGUUGGGCACUCUGAAAGAACUGCCAGUGAUAAGCUGGAGGAAGGUGGGGAUGACGUCAAGUCCUCAUGGCCCUUACGUGUUGGGCUACACACGUGCUACAAUGGUAUCUACAACAGGAAGCAAGACUGCGAAGUUAAGCAAAUCCUUAAAAGAUACCUCAGUUCGGAUUGCACUCUGCAACUCGAGUGCAUGAAGCUGGAAUUACUAGUAAUCGUGGAUCAGCGUGCCACGGUGAAUGCGUUCCCGGGUCUUGCACACACCGCCCGUC